UUCCGGUGAAGAACAAUUUGUGUUUUACCGGAAGAACCUUUUUUCGGAAGCUUUCCGGAAGAACCUUCUUCCGGAACCUUUCCGGAAGAAGGUUCUUCCGGAAGAACAAAUUGUUGUUCUUCCAGAAGAA
rnacentral:pre_miRNA from 1 species